CCAGGCAAGAACACUGGAAUGGGUUGCCAUUUCCUUCUCCAAUGCAUGAAAGUGAAAAGUGAAAGUGAAGUCGCUCAGUCGUGUCCCUAGGGCCUGUCUUAAAGACACACAAAGACUUCAUUCUUUUAUCUAUUUUGUUUUGACCACACUGCAAGGCAUGUGGGAUCUCAGUCCCUGGCCAGGGGUCGAACCUGCGCCCCUUGAAAGCUCAGAGUCUUAACCUCUGGACUGCCAGGGAGAUCCCUCAUUCAUUUAUUUUUGAAGUCCACCUUUGAGAUGUCAUUACCAUGUGGAGAGAAGUGGGAGGUUCUGUUUCUACAGUCAAGUCUGGGAUGGACAGUGUCUGGCACGUUGCGAGAGUCUAAGAAUGUAUUAUUAAUGCUUAUUUUGGACCUUCAUUCUGUCUUUGCCCAGAUUUUAUUGGGGCAAGCUAAGAUUUUGAGAGUUUGUGUCUUGCUCAAGGUCACGCAGUCAAGAAGGGGUGAAGGCAGGAUUUGAACCCAGGUCUGUUUCCAGCAGCAGAACUUGCUUUAGGUUCUUUGAAAUCAGCCAUUUGCUUCUGCCAUGGGUGAAUCUGAGUCCAGUUCUCAGGGCUCAGCUCAUGGCGAAUAUAACUUUGAUUGAUCAACAUUCCACCACUUUCCUGCCAACUGCUCUGAAACCAGGGCCUGCGGGGUCCACAAAGAAGAAAAUCCCUCUCACAGCUCAGCUCAUCAUUGACAGCUGUUCUCAGAGCAGCACCUCCUAACUCUGGGGGCCCAGAUGGGACACCAGGGUAGGGAGGGAAAUGGAUUCCCUAGCGACAGGUUGAGGGCAGGGGAACCAGCACCCCCUUCAGCCUCUGCCUCAAGGUGGGUCUGAGCUCUAAGGCUCUUCUGCUCCCUGGGGCCAGCUGAGGAGUGGUCAGUCCCAUCUGCAUGGCCCCAUUCUUUGGGUCCUCCUGUCUGGGGCCCAUGUUCACUUGGUCUCACCUCCUUGGGAAUGGAGAGGUGGGCUAGUGGAGAGGGCUAAGCAGUUGUCUAGCUUAAUAAAAACCCUUGAUCUUUUUUGGGGUGGCCUGGAGGGGGCGAGUUGCUGCAGCUGUUGUAAGGACACACUUGCUGAAGGAGGUAAUGCAACAGCUGAGCUAUUUGGUGCUCCUGGGAGCAGUGAAGAUGGGAGGGUACACAGUAGGAAUUCAAAGAUAUUUAUCGAAUGGGUGGGUCUCACACAAGGCUUCUGUUCCGAUGGUCAAUGGCUCAGAGCAGGGGACUGCGGACCGUCCAGGGCAUCGAGUAUGUGUAUGUAUACAUGUGUGUAUGAAUAUCCGUGUGUGCAUCUGUGCAUGAGGGUGGGUCCAAGUGAGACAAGGCUUCUUGGGAUGAAGGGCUGGCCUUAUUGGUGGGGCACCUGAGAAAGGCUGGGGCACUCACUUUUCCCCCUAAAGCUGGAAGAUUACAUCUGGCCCUGAAUCACUGCUCUCUGGAGGAAGUUAAUUCAUGCCUAAAUAGUUACUGAGAGAGUGCUGGGACAGUGUAGAGCAGGUCACAAAACCUAUCUGGACUUGGGCUCCUGUCAAACCCCAGGGGGUGUCACUGGAGCCGCGAACACCUUGGAAUGCCACUUAGGCCUGGGGACACCUUUCACUGGGUUCAGGAGGGAAGACAUGCCAGGAAGUUCCUAGUCAGCUUUGGGACUUGCCUGGUGGGCUCUCAGGGACCGAUUUGGGGAAGAGGAUGCAGAGGCAAAAAGGUUAAUUGAAGGUUUGUGUUGGGAGAAGGAGGAUUUGGAAUUGACGUAUUCAUUCCUUUCUUCAUUGGCCAGAGAGCUGUUUCUAGAACCUUACCCUGGAAUCCCUGCAAAUGGAUUAGGGGGAACUAGUUGUGAUCCUGCCCUCAGGAGGCCACAACUCAGAGAGAAGCAGAGGAGAUAAACAGACCAGAUGAUGCAGAGUGAUAAGUCUGUGAUAGGAAGGAAGGGGCUGGAGGAGGGCAGGGGAGGGUCCCCAAAGCUGGCCUGGAGAAGGCUUCCUGCAGGAAGCUGAGACUGGGAAGCCAAGGACGGGGAGGGGUCUUUUAGCAGAGAGAACAGCCUGAGGCUCAGCACAGUGUCUGGUAUGCAGUAGGCACUCAAUAAACAUUUGUGAAAUCAAUCAAUCAGUAAGUGCAAGUAUGCAGAAGACACUGUUAAAAUUGGAAGGGUCCUAGGCAUCGGGCUGCCCCCAUCCAUAAUUUCAGAUAGGUAAACUGAGGUCCGAGGACUUCCCAGGUGGCUCAAUGGUAAAGAAUUUGCCUGCCAAUACAGAAUUUGCCUGCUAAUUUGUUCAAUUCCUGGGUUGGGAAGAUCCCCUGGAGCAAGAGAUGGCAACUCACUGCUGUAUUCUGACCUAAAAAUCCCAUGGACAGAGGAGCCUGGCAAGGUAGCAGAGAAUCGGACAUGACUGAGCGACUGAGCACACACUCACACAAACUGAGGUCCAGAGAGGAGGAAGGAUGCUCUGAGUAUGUCCCCCAGGGAUGGAACUGGAACCCAGGCGUCCCAUCUCCCAGUCAAGCCUCUGGCUUCCCCAGCUCGCUGUCUCCAAGGCUUGGAGUGGGGGUGACUCCAUGGGGACAGAGAUCGACACUGUGGGCAGUGGCAGAGAAAGCGUGGGGCACGGUUGAACGCAGGGGUCACUGUUGAGUCCUCUCUGAGGCUCAGAGUCCAUGGUGCUUGGAUGAGGGAGCCUGUUGCUACACCCCGCAAAAUUUGUUCUGUGGCUAAUGGGCACUGGGGAGCUUGGCUGGGGUCCCAGAGCUGGGGAACACCCCUCCUGCCCUGAAGACCCAGCAUCCUGUCACCGUCCCACAUACAGGUUAAUGACCCGUCUGUGUUUGCCCAGUAUGGUCCAGGGCAACAGGCUCAGUGCCCAGGAAGACAUCAUGGCUCCUGGCUUCAAGGUCUUAAAUGUAAUGUGGAAGGUUGACAGCAGCUUGGUUUUUUGGAGCUCUUGUUCUCUGCCAGCCACUGCCUCCCGUGCUGGUCUCCUUGAAGCUCCACAGCAACCUUUGAGGCAGGUUUGGUUAUCAUCUGCAUUUGAUGGAUGAAGCAUGUGAGGCUCAGAGGGCUUGGGUGACUUGACUGGGAUCCUCCAGCAAGGGAGGAAAAGCGACUCUGAUCCCAGGACUCUGGGGAGGUGGGGGGCACCAGAAGCAGCAGGGGAGGAGUGGAGACCCCCGCUGUGAGUUUUGGAUUCGUUGGCUUUUGAACGAAUUUUGUCCUUACCGAUGGAAUGUGCAUGCAGAGUUGGUGUGAUCUCUCACCUGGAGGCCUCUGCCCGAGCACCUGGCACAGGUUGGGUGCCCGAUUGUUCGUUCACUCACCCACUUAUUCAUUCACUCACUCAACCAUGCACUGAGAUAGUGAACGACAGGGAAGCCUGGCCUGCUGCAGUCUACGGGGCCGCAAAGAGUUGGACACGACUUAGUGACUGAAUGGCGACAGGUACCGGCCAAUGAGCAGGCACCAUGCUAAAGGAACACUAGACAGCUCUGUCUGCCCAGAGCAGGGCUGAGAGGAUCCUUUUAAUCUCCUUGGCCAACUCUGAUUGAUUCGUAGUGUCUGCCUGGAACCCUGGGUUGGAAGGGAUUUGGCGGGUGCCCCAGUUGAUUAGUGAUGUCUGCCAAGGGCUCAGCUGGGAGCCUUUAUGGCAAGCCUGCUGGGUAGCUGCCCCUGGGAUGAGGAUGGAGUGUCUGCUCCAUGCUUUGGACAUCUGGGUUGGUUAAGCAGACAGAAGGGGUCUGGAGAUUGGGAGAAACGGGUUCUAGCCCCAGAUUGGUCCUGUAACCCUCAGGAAAUACACAUCAGCCUUUUUGGGCCUCAGUUUCCUCAUUUGUCACCUUCCUCCAGAGGUACUGUGAGCAUAAAAUGACAGGAAAGUGUUUGAAGAGUUGAGGAGACUGGUAAUGAAAGGAAAUGGGAAACUGCUCCCCUCCCUCUUUUCUUCUUUCUCAAAAUCUUGCCAGAAAUGGAACAUGCUGGGCAGGGUAGAGUUAAUCCCGGACGGUCCUGUGUGUGUGUGUGUGUGUGUGUGUGUGUGUGUGUGUACUGGUGGGUGGGGGCCCCUCAGCGGUUCCUGGCUCAGAGUUGUUUUUAUAACUCACUUAGUACAGACCUUUGUCCCCUCCCUGGCCUCAGCUGGGAGUUUCUAAGGAGUAAGAAGCUCCUUGGAUCUUAGGAACUGAAUCUUAGAAUUUUUGUUUGUUUGUUUUCAUUUCACUGGUGGGAGCUGGUGUGCGUGCCACCUGCCUCCUCCACAUCCCCACUCAGAGAUUAAAACUAGACCAUUGUGCCAGGCGCAGAACUCUGUUUAACAUGGAUUUUCCCCAUUAAUCCUCAAAACAGUCUCAUGAAGUGGGUAGCAGAGUAAUCCCCAUUUCACAGUUGAGGAAACUGAGGCCCAGAGAACUGAAACUUGGAGGCCACACACCUCCAGGCUGCUGCCGGUUUGUGGGUGCCAGGCCCUGAUCCGAGCUAGAGAAAGACUGUCUCAUCCGUCAUGACUGACUGUGCCUUGUCCCGGCUCUUCUGUCCAUUCAUCCAUUUACUCCUUUAUUCACUUUGUAUUUUUGUUCUUUCACAAAUGUUAAGUUCCCACUGUGAGCCAGGCUCUGCAUCAACUCCUAGAACUACAACAACCCCACUCUCGAGGACCUUACUUACAUUCUAGACCAGAUGGGAAACAAGCAAAAGAGGAGGAGGCUGAGGCUCAGAGAGGUGAAUUGACUGCAAUCUAGACUGGCGUGCCUCCGGAGCUGGUUCUUUUAACCUUGACACCUGGAUAUGCAGGUGGCCGGAAGAAGGUGACCUCCAGGACUCUGAGAUCUGAGGAUGGUGACUGUCCUUGGGAACUUGUGAACCUCUGAUGCAGGGCUGGUUCAUCUCUGCGGCCUGAUUUCACCGUGUCGGGCUUCCCUGGUGGCUCAAUGGUAAAGAAUCUGCCUGCAGGAGACAUGAGUUUG